UCCAGGAGAAUCCAAAGGCGUGGUGGGCGACAGAACCAUGGCGGACGCGGAGAAAAACGCUGUUGCGGAGAAAAACAACGCUGUUGCGACGAAAGAGGUUCUAGCUGAGGCAGCAGCCAUUCUAGAACCUGUAGGCUUGCAGGAAGAAGCAGAGCUGCCUGCCAAGAUCAUGGAGGAGUUUAUGAGGAACUCGCGGAAGAAAGACAAACUGCUUUGUAGCCAGCUUCAAGUAGUGAACUUCUUACAGGCUUUUCUGGCUCAGGAGGAUACUGACCAGAACGCAGAUGCUUUGGCUUCUGAAGAUGCAAGUCGGCAAAAGGCAACUGAAACUAAGGAGCAGUGGAAGGACAUGAAGGCCACAUACAUGGAUCACGUGGAUGUCAUAAAAUGUGCCCUGUCUGAGGCCUUACCCCAGGUUAAAGAGGCUCACAGGAAGUACACAGAGCUUCAGAAGGCUUUUGAGUAACUCGAGGCUAAGAAGCGGGUCCUUGAGGAGAAACUUCAGCUGGCUCAGAAGCAGUGGGUACUGCAACAGAAGCGUCUGCAGAAUCUGACAAAGAUUUCUGCAGAGGUCAAGAGGCGCCGGAAGAGGGCUCUGGAGAAGCUUGACGGAUCCCAUCAGGAACUGGAAACCUUGAAGCAGCAAGCGGGACAGGAACAGGAGAAGCUGCAGAGGUGA